UACAGGUGUUGGACGGCUACGCCCUAUCGCAAGAUAAGGUGAGGAAAGUCCGAACAUUCAUUAGCUUCGGCUAAAAGUGUAAUGGGUAAUUCCCAUCUAGGGCGACCUAGAGGUGCGAACAGAAACGACCCGGUUAAGUCCGGCUGAAACGGCUAAAUCCUUACAUGGAUGCAAGAUCGUGUCCCGCCGUAAGGCGUGGAAGAAUCGCAAAGAUUCCGACGGCAACGUCGGAACAAGAUAAAUUGUCGUCAUCUUGACUUCGGUUAAGAAACAAAAUUCGGCUUAUAGACACCUGUAAAAA
rnacentral:RNase_P_RNA from 1 species